rnacentral:rRNA from 1 species
CACGUAUUUAGCCGUUCCUUUCUGGUAAGAUACCGUCACACAUUGAACAGUUACUCUCAAUGUCAUUCUUCUCUUACAACAGUGUUUUACGAGCCGAAACCCUUCAUCACACACGCGGCGUUGCUCCAUCAGGCUUUCGCCCAUUGGUGGAAGAUUCCCUACUGCUGCCUCCCGUAGGAGUAUGGGCCGUGUCUCAGUCCCAUUGUGGCCGAUCAGUCUCUCAACUCGGCUAUGCAUCAUCGUCUUGGUGAGCCAUUACCUCACCAACUAACUAAUGCACCGCGGGACCAUCUCUUAGUGAUAGCAGAACCAUUCUUUUAAGUAGCAACCAUGCGGUUGCUAUUGUUAUACGGUAUUAGCAUCUGUUUACCAAAUGUUACUCCCCUGCUAAGAGGUUACGGUUUCCCACGUUGUUACUCCACCCGUUCGCCCUACUUCUUUCGACUAAUGUCCAUCGUCAUAUCUGA